rnacentral:tRNA from 1 species
AGGGGUGUAGCUUAAUGGUAGAGUGCUUGCCUAGCCUGCACGGGGCCCUGGGUUCCAUCCUCAGCACCACCA